AUACUUACCUGGCAGGGGAGAUACCAUGAUCAUGAAGGUGAUUUUCCCAGGGUGAGGCUUAUCCAUUGCACUCUGGAAGUGCUGACCCCUGCGAUUUUCCCAAAUGUGGGAAACUCGACUGCAUAAUUUAUGAUAGUGGGGGACUGCAUUCGCUCUCUCCCCUG
rnacentral:snRNA from 1 species